rnacentral:lncRNA from 1 species
AGACUGUCAAAGCAACUUCCAAAUAUUUUCUCACUAUAAAUAGACUGGAUUCCCUUGAAGAUCAUCAAGAAACUCCAACUUAACUUUGUUCAGCUAAAGAAAGAUAACUAGUUGGCCUACACCAAUACUUUGAUCGAAAAUUGUUUUAGAUAACAAGAGAAAGCAAGAAAUGGGUCGUUUCUCUGCCAUUUUUAGUUUCUUUGUUUCAUCAUCUUCUUCAAGGGUUGCAGAUGAAGCCCGUAAUAAGACAGAGAAAACCAAAAGCAAAUCAAAAUCAUCAGGUGCCCCAAUCGUAGUUUCUUACUUCCCCGUGAACUCAUCUCUCUCUCGCUUGUAGGAAAUUCCAUUCCAGGGAGAUGAAGAAGGGCCAUGUGGUACUUUCUAUGCCGAUAAUCGUGGACCAUCUUCGGCCUUUUUCACAAAAACCAACUGUAUGACAGUGUGGCAAUGCUGCUACGUUAGGCUUUGAAGUGAUUGUAGCAAUUAUGAGUAGCGGAAAUUCUAUCUCAAGACUAUUUCAUGCGUGAUGUUUAUGCAACUCAUCAUAUGGCUGUAGCCGGUACUGUUCUGAAUUAUUUUUUAUUUUAUGGGUAAAAUUUCUUAAAUUUUGCUUAUAUAUACUUUAAUCAGUGGAAUUCGAAGAUAGACGAACAAUGUUCGCAAUCAUUGAUAUAUAGUAUUUAUUUAUAUUAAAAUAUCUAUGAUCAAGAGUCAAGAUUAUAAAAAUCAUAGUAAAUAAAUAAUCUAGCAAUAUUGCUUUAAGAGCCACAUGCCCACAACCACCAUACAAUCAACUAAUUUGGGACUGUCGCUUGCUAAUAUAAUAUUCAACUAAGACUUAGCACACAUAUGUAUGAUUAGUAUAUAGUAUUAUAUCAGAUCUUCCUUGCUUUGGAAGCUCAGAAUAUAAAAAUCUCCCAUUUUGUGUGGUCAAAACAGCCACAACAUGUGAAAAUUGAUUUUCCUUUUCUUUCCAGGCAAAGCAUAAGCUUCUCUCGUACACUUCAUUCUUAUCUCCUUGUAAAUAGACAAGUGCCCAAGACGGUCUCCUUGAACUCAUUAUCUAAUCUUCAAUUAGUACCUUCCUCUUACUAUUCCUAAUUGUUACACUAAAAAAGCUAAUAGUACCCCAAAGUAUAUCUACUAGCAGAACUAUGGAAGAUCGUGCAAGAAGAAACUAUUCCAAUUUGUUUACUAGAGAGCUUUCUCAUCCCCGACCUCCCACCGUUGAAACUGAAGAAGAGUGAAGACUAAUUUCUCUCACUUUCAGCACCAUCAAGGGGCGGGGCUAGGAUUCAAAGAUAAAAGGGGGAAAAGUUGUCGAGAACAUGAAGUACAACAUAACAUAGUAAAAUUGAAUUAUUAAAAAUUAUAGAGGCUAUUAUUUUUACCAAAAAAAAUAAAGGGGCAGUAACUCUGCCGUUUACCCCAUGACUUGAUAUGGUUUAGUGAGACAAACAAAUUUACUAAGAAUUAACACACACGAAAUGAAAAAAAAAAAUAAGAAGAAACUAAUAUAGAAUAAAAAAAAUCAAGGAGAAUAAUCAAUAAAAGGAAAGGAAGAGGUGAAUCAAAAUAAUUAGGGAGAAGGGCACUAAACCAUGGGAUUGUUAUCGUUAUUAUUACAUCUUUGCAUCUCAUCUGUUGAGUAGUAAAUCGAUAUUGCACAUUGGUAGGUUUUAAGGAUACUGAUUUUCAAGAAUGGCAUUACCAAUACAUGUUGGGCUCUUAAGUACAAUAAACAUAGUCUUUCUUUUAUAUAUAUAUAUAGCCUAGGGUGAUGAUAAUUAUGGUUGUAAAAUUUGAUUUAAGAUUGAUUUGAAAAUCGACAACACAAAGUAAACUCAAAUCACAUUUAUGAUAAUUAUGAUUGUAAAAUCUGAAUCAGGAUUAAUUUGAGAAUCGACAAAUUUAGAAUUUAACAUGAGUUUAAGUUUUUUAAAGUAUAUACAAGUUUUAAUAUUAUUAUAAAUCUACAAUAUUAAAAUUUAAUAUCUUUUAGAGAGUUUUAGUGUAAUUACGAGAUAGUUAGUUGAUUAUAUUAGGUUUUUUCACAGAUAAAGAUAAAAAUCUUAGUUUAGUAGGAUUUAUAAUGCUAUUUAAAACCACCUUAAACAUUCGGAAUCAUGUAUAAAAAGAUAAUAAGAAAAAGUAGAGAGAAAAAGUUAUUUGUUAUGUUUUUUCUUAGAGUAAAACUUACGUGAGUUUUGUUGAAUAGUUUAACUUUAAUUCUAUAAAAAUCUAGUUUAUUUGAUUGACCUGACUUAAACUGACUCAAAGUUAAUCAGAUCAGAUAUAAAAAAAUCAAAAUAAUAUUAUUUUUAUUCAUCAUUAAAAAAAAUUAAAAAAUAAAAAAAAUUGAUUUGGUUAUGUAGAAAUUAACUCAAUGACGUAAUGACCCAAACUUUUAACUAGAUUAAAUCCAAAAACAAUUAUAGUAAUGAGAUCUUUUUGCUUCCCUAUAUAUAUAACAUUGGCUAACAUGUGCAAAAAUAUCAUCACUGUUUUGUUUUAACAUCUAUUCAUGUACAAAUAUCACAACAAGAGAUAUGUAUAUUUAGGGUUUAGCAAUGUAUGUGCUUUAGGAAUAGAAUUUCAACUAGUUAAUUGCCCACGUUGAUAAGAAACAAAUUAGCUAAAAAACGAUGAUUAGUUUAUGCAAGCGCAAUUUAAAGAAGGUGAAAAAUCAAUGUCAAAUAAUAAAAUCAAAAAAAUAAAAUAAGUCCAAAAAAGAAGCAAUGUCAACACGUGUUAACUUGCAAAACCCGUGACCCGAGUCAUUUGAAUAGAAGCAUCACAUUUGAAAAAACCAUGAAGCCCAAUUUUCAACAAAUCAAAUAUUGAAAGAUAAAAUUAAAAAAAAAUAAUCAUACAAAUGGAUAAAAAGAAAUAGGAGUUUUAUGCCAAAAAAGGCUCAAGGCCACCAAAAUCAACCCACCAAACCCAUAGGUCAGGUCAUGAGAUUGAGAUAACCUGAUUGAAAGGAAAAUGAACAAAAUCACAAUGCUAAUUUUUUAAAAAAGAAAAUAAGUUAAAGAAAAACUAUGUUAGCUUUUGUUAACUUAUAAAGCCCAUAACCCGGACUAUUUGACCAAAAAACCAAAUAUAAAAAAAACCAUAGAGCUCAAUUUUUAACAAAUCAAAUAUUGAAUGAUAAAAAUUAAAAACAAAAAUCAAUCACACAAAAUGAUCCAAAAGAAAAAAAACAAUAGCAAUUAAAAGCUAAAAUAAAAAGGCACUAGCCAACCCAAAUUAACUCAUCAAACCACGAGUCAGGUCAUGAGAUUAGUAUUAUUUAAUAUAAAGGAAAACGAAGAAAAUCAUGAAGUCUAUUUUUUAGAAGAAAAAAAACAAUGUCAAAUGAUAAAAUCGGAAAAGAAAAUAAGUAAAAAAAAAAAACAAUAUCAACCUGUGUUAGCUUCUAAAACCCAUGACCUAUGCCAUUUAAUUAGAAGCACCAAUUGUUUUACAAAACAAAAAAUCCAUGAAACUUAAUUUCCAAUAAAUCAAAAGAAUGAAGAUUCAUACUGAAAUAUAAGCAACUAAUAGGACUACCUUAAUAAUUUAAAUUGCCAUCACGAAUUUCAAGAGAGCUAAGGGAAAAAAAACAAAACUCUAACUGUGAGUGUCGUGACAUGCAUGACGUCGUGUUAAUUAUUUCUACUACAGAACGUGAAUUCAUGUUCUGCAUGCAGGUUUGAGAGCAUAGAGAAGGUUUACGUGGGAAUGAGGAAAAGAGAAGAGGUUACCUAGUAUGGAGAAGGUGCUUGGCAGUCGUUGUUGGGAGGUACGACAUGGGGAUGGUGGAGAUGUUGGUUGAUAAGUUGGGAGGUACGACAUGGGGAUGGUGGAGAUGUUGGUUGAUAAGUUGGCAGUUGGCGGGGUUGUUCUGAAGAGGUUGGUGUUGCUGGAAGAAGGAGAAGUUGAAGUUGAUCGAGGGAGGUUGCUUCUCACAAUGGAGAGAAAGAAAAUGUUGUUCUUUUGGUUGUCAUAGGUGUUCCUAUGGUUGGCCUAGAGAAGAAGAAAGGUGUUGGUCAUUUGAAAAGGCUGAUUUUUUAGCCUACUUUCUCUUGAAAUUUAUUUCCCUCUAAUGCACGAAAUACACCCUACUUAUAGGGGAUGAAAGAAGAACAUCUGGUGUUUAUUAGGGGUAAAUCUUGGCCCUUGAUUCAAAUAGAAAGGAUUUCAACCAUUAGCCAAAAAUCAUCAUCACAAGCUACGAAAUUUGGCUGCAAAAGGCUAAUCAUGCUAGCCCUUUUAGGGCAGUGCCGCGGCGUCUAUAAAGGUGACCAGACGAAAAUAGUUAUGUUGUGGUAUAGUACGGUGUCGGGCCAUCAGAGUGGUGUCCUGUUUGUCUUGUUUGGUGAAGAGAUGAGGCAUUAAAUGCCCUUAAAAAGUGGCCACCCUAGCAGUCUUUCAGGUAUAAAAGAUUAAAAAUGAUGAACAAUAGCCAGACGACAAGUCUUCUAACACCUUUUUUUUUGUUUUUGUUUUGGUCAAAAUGCACCAUUUCAUUUAAAUGAAACGACGCCGAUUUGACAUCCUUAGGGUCUUAAUUGGGGAUUUAACUAAAAUUCAAUUUAGUCAUUUGUCUUUUGAUUUUUUUAAUUGCAUCUCUAAUUGACUUCAAACUUUUAAUUUUAUGCGAUUUUGUCAUUGCAAACUUCAAAUAUCAACCCUGAAGUUCAGUGCCUUUUCACUUUGAUCCUUGAUUUUGAAUUUAUGCAAAAUGAUCCUCAAUUGACCAUUUAACUUUUAAUGUGGCUUAUGAUUAAAUCAAAUUAGCCUAUUAAAAAUCUAAUUAAUUUCUUGGACUUAAUUUUUAUGCAGAUUCGUCGAAUAAUCAUUUAAUUUGACCUUGAAUAUGCAUUAUCUCUUUAAUUUUUGAUACAAUUGGGUAUGAUUAGGCUCUCAAUUUUGUCCAAGACUCCAACUUGAUUCUCUAUACAUUUAAAACCCUCCUCAGCUUGCUAUUGUCAAAUUUUCAGUCUUGUUGUUGUUGUUGUUUAAAAAAAAAGGUAAAUUGAGGAGGGGGGAAUAGGUUAUAACAACGAGAAUCCGUCAAGAACCAACAAACAUGUGAAGUCUAUAGAGAAAAAGGACGCCACCAGGAAUCCAAUGACAGGACUAAAAAACCUUUUUCACCGUCUAAGGACAUCGCCAAAACGACACGACAUCCUUCCACUUGUCGGCACAAGCUUUGCAUGCAUAAACCACUUUUUAAACAAAAUAUUUUUUUAUUGAUGCAAAACGUAAAAUUACCCCUCAAUCAACUUUAUUAUAAUAAUAAAAAAAAACCUUGAUGAAAAUACCAAAAAAAUCUUAAAAGAAACUUAAAUAAAUUUAAUUUAAAGGGUUAUUUUGUAAAUUUAUCCUGAAAAAAUAUGAAAAUUCCAAAAAGCCGCUUUAAAUCAAUUAUUUAAAUUUUACUUUUAAAAGUAGUAUAUGUAUUUUACUGUUCAUAAAAAGGAGGGAAAACACUGGGGUGCCCUCGGACAAAUUGAAAAUGACAAAUGGAAGAUGAAGAAAAGACUAUUUUAUCUAUGAAUGAAGACUUCUUAGCUGAUUUGUUAAAAGAAAAAAUUAUAAAUUCACUAUUACAGCCCACAGUGUUUUUCUCUCUGGUCUCCAAUAAUUUUUCCCAUAAAUUAACUGUUACUGUCCACGGUGUUUUUCUCUCUGGCCCUGCAAUAAUUUUGCCCAUAACUUGGUUGUUUUGUUAAUUUUUUGCCCCCUCCACACCCCUGUUGACUCUGCCCUGACGAAAUUAGGCUAACAUAAAGAAAUUAUUACAUAAACUAAGUUCAUCACAUCACAUGAGGCAUAAACUAAAUUAAUAAACAUGGGACAUACAGGGGAAAAUACAGAGAUUUUUGUUGAUCAUGAUGCAUUUCACAUAAUUUUAUCUACAUGUCUUCUAUUUAUUAGUAUAGCCUAUAAGUGAUAUGGUAAAUUUAGCGUGUGUAAUCAUUUCUCGUCUAUCCUAACCUGGCAUGUUCUCAUUUCAUUUUAUUUUAUAUUUUUUAGAUUAAACUAGUUACAUGCCCCGCGCGAUGCCGCGAGUCAAUUAUUUUUUGCAUUUUAAAAAUAGCCAAGAUCUAAAAGUGUUAGGUUUUUUUGCAAAGUUAUAUCCAAGAAUCUCAGGUUUGGUUGCAACGCCUGACCCAAGAGUAAUGUUUAUAAUAUUAAUAAUAACAUUAAACUUGGGUUAACCCUUAGCAUAAAAGUGUCUGGACUGCAAUACCAGACCCAAUAGCAUUGGACGUGGGUCUGGCUGCAAGGUCGUAUCAUAAAAAUGUGAUAAUUAAAUAGAUUAGUUAAAAAGAAAAAAAACCAACAGGAAGAAAAAAACUAAUGAAAAAAAAGAAAAAAAAAGAUGAAUUAAUUGGGCUAACCCUUCAAACCAGGUUAACCCGUCAUACCUUGAAUUCGCAUCGUGAAAGUCUGAUAAUUAAAAAGAAAAAAACAAAUUAAUGGGUUAACCCAAAAUUAACUGGGCUAACUCGUCAAACCAAGUUAACCUGUCAAACCCGGAAUCCGUGUAAUGAAAGUUUGAUAACUAAAUAGAAAAAAAUUUAACAUCAAUUUAAAUUAAACGAAAAAAAUUAAUUAAAAAAAAAAGGCAUCAGCCUUUUCACUGUGGACUGCACUGUGCAGUUCACAGUCAAAGGCAUAAAAAAAAACUAAAGGCGUCAGCCGAGAACUACUUAGAAAAAAAUUUAAUAUUAAUAAACUAAAUUAAUUAAAUAAAUAAAAUUAAAAAGAAAAAAUAAAAGAAAAAAAACCUCUAAGAAGAAAAAAAAACUAAAUAGAAAGAAAUUUAACAUUAACAAACUAAACUAAACGAAAAAAAUAAUUAAAAAGAAAAAAAAAGCAAAAAAAAUAAAAUUCAGGUUAACUCGUCAAACCAAGUUAACCCGUUAAACCCGGGAUCCGUGUCAUGAAUGUCUGGUAACAAAAUAAAAAAAAGUGAACAUUAACAAACUGAACUAAUAAAAAAAAAUUAAUUAAAAAGAAAAAAAAUCCGGGUUAUCUCGUCAAACCAUGUUAACCUGUUAAACUCAGUAUUUGUGUCAUGAAAGUCUGAUAACUAAAUAAAAAAAAAUUUAACAUUAACAAACUAAAUUAAACAAAAAUAUUUAUAAAAAUAAUAAUAAAAAAAAAUGACGGGUCAACCCGGAAUUAACUGGGUUCACCCGUGAAACCAGGUUAACCGGUGAAACUCGGGAUAUGUGUCAUGAAAGUCUAAUAACUAAAUAGAAAGAAAUUUAACAUUAACAAACUAAACUAAACGAAAAAAAUUAAUUAAAAAAACAAAGAAAGAAGCAAAAAAAAUCCCAAAAAUCAUUAAAAAAACAGCUAAAAAAACUUAGACAACCUAAAAAAAAAAAAAAAAGAGCCUAAGGAAUCAGUGUUUUACUAUGGACUGCACAGUGCAGUCCACAGUAAAACACUGAUUCCUUUUAGCUAUUGUUAUAAUUAAGCUCUCUUACGUUGAAUAUUGAAAACGAGUAUGAAUAUUGCUACAACGGUCUAACUGUCUAGCAGAGGCUUAAUUUUCAAUAGGAAGUGACGAGUUAAAGACUUUCAUGUCUUAAAUUUUUUUCUCGAUGCAGAUUGCAGAAGGUAAACAGAAGUUGUGAUGAACUUUCUAAGUAUGUGCUGGCGUUCAAAGCAAUCACAAAAAAGAGAUAUUACUCGAGACGAGGGGUCACCUGUGUUUUGGCUAUUAGUCAAAGCAGCCACAAACCAAGAAACUUCGUAUUUCCUUGCACAGCACUGUCCAAGCAACUUCCAAAUAUUUGCUCACUAUAAAUUGACAGCAUUCCCUUGAAAAUCAUCAAGAAACUCCCACUUAACAUUUUUCAGCAAAAGAAAGCUAACUAGUUGGCCUACAGUGUCUUCACCAAUACUACUUCAUCGAAAACUGUUUUAGAUAACAAGAGAAAGCAAGAAAUGGGUCAUUUCUCAGCCAUUUUCAGUUGCUUUGUUCCAUCGGCUUCUUCAAGGGUUAUAGAUGAAGCCCAUAAGAAGGCAGAGAUUCCUAAAAGCAAAUCAAAAUCAUCAGGUGCUCCAAUCGUAGUUUCUUACUUCCCCAUGAACUCAUAUCUCUCUCGCUUGUAGCAAAUUCCAUUCCAGGAAGAUGAAGAAAGGCCAUGUGAUUGUUUAUGCAGCUCAGCAUAUGGCGGGAGCCUGUGCGGUUCUGAUUUUUUUUUUUUUUUUUUUAUGGAUAUGUUAUUUUAUUUGUUGCAAUAUCUAGGUAUUGCAAGAAUUGCUUAUCCUGUAAAGAAAACAAAGGAUGAAUACAAAAUCAUAUAUAAUUUUGUCCCGAAGUAAGAGUAAAAUUUAUGGAGUCCACCUCUCAAAUCAUUCACCCAUUAAAUUUAUUUGCAAAAUCUUAAUCCUACAGAUCCUGCACACCCCUAGAAACUUGCAAGCUUACAUCUAGUUUUUUAUUUUUGUAAUUGUGAAAUUGAUCAAAUAAUUUAUUUAAAUUGAUCAUAUUAUUUCUAUCUAGUUACUUGCAGCCCACAACUUAGUUAUAUGGUCAACCAAGUCACAAUAUUCCCCCUAAAAAUAACACAAUUUUGGAGAAUUAAUUCGAGGGCAGCAUAAAAAUUUUAGACCAGGUCGAUGGUUUGGAUUUCAUCCCAAAGAUAAAACAAUAAAAGAGUAAAAACUUAUCUUUUUAAGGGUUUUGAAAUUUCGGAUGUCUAUUUGUAGAUAAAAAAUCUUGAGGUAAAGAUCCAUGUGUAAGUUGUAAGAAAAUAUCUCAUACUAAAACAAUAAAAGAAAAACAACCAAGUAGUUUAUAGGCAAGAACGACGAAACCAACACCUAAUAAUUUAGAUUUUUUGGUAAAGAUGAUGUCUAUUCAUUAAUCUAAGCCCUCGACUGGCCUUGCAAAAUCUUCAUUUUCGAGAGGAUGUCUAUAUAUAUAUAUCAAAUAAAAUAUAGUGGUCCACAUGGUUUUAUCUAUUUGUCUUAUUAUAUUUAUUCAUCUAGUCUAUGAGGAAAAUGAUAAACUUCCGUCCUGUUUGUUUUGCUGGAAACUAGUUUUUUUUUGAAAAAUAGUUUUACUGAAAAGUAAAUUCCUGAAAAGUGAAUUAUUUUUUGGUAUUUGAAAGUGUCAUGAAAAUAAGUUGAAAAAUAUUUUUUAGUAUUUAGUUAUGACAUGGAAAAUGAGCUGAAAAAUAACUUAUUAAUUUUUUAAAAAACAUUAUUAAAAUAAUAAGAAACAAAUCUUACAAAUUAAAAAGUUGAAUGAGAAUGAAAUUGAAAAAAAAAUCUAAUUUCAUAAAUUAUCUCAAAUAAAAUAAAUAACAAUCAAAAUAAUGGAGAUCAAAUUUAACAGAUAAAAAAAAUAAAAUAUGAUGAAAUUACAAUAAUUAUAAUUAUAAUUUCAUAAAUUAUUUAAAAUAAAAUAAGUAACAAUCAAAAGAAUGAGAACUAAAUUUGAUAGAUAAAAAAUUUUAAUUAAAAAAAUAAUAAGAAAAAAAAUAACAAUCAUGAAAAUAAGGACCAAAGUUAAUAUAAAAAUCAAAUUAAAUCAAAUUUUAAGAGGUGAAAUUGAAGAAAAAAAUAUUCAAAACAAAAUAUAUUCAAUCAAAAAUUUGAUGAUCAAAUUUGUUAUAAUCAGUAAAUAAUAUGAUAUUUUUAAAUUUCUCACAACUUCUGGAAAGUGUUUUCCGCCCAAAAUAAAAGGAAAAUAUUUUUCUGAAAAUCAAACUAAAUUUUUUUUAACUGAAAAGUGUUUUCCAUUGACUAAUUUUCCUAAUAUAAUAAAUAAACAAAAAAUUAAUUUAAAAAUAAUUUCUAAAAAUCUAUUUUUAACAUAGCAACUUUUUAUUUUAGUUUUUAGUUGUUUUAGUUAAUUAAGCUCUCUCACGUACUUACAUAAUAAAUAAACACAAAAAUAAUUUAAAAAUAAUUUCUAAAAAUCUAUUUUUAACAUAGCAGCUUUUUAUUUUAUUUUAUAGUUUUUUUUUGUUAAUUAAGCUCUCUCACGUACGUUGAAUCCUGAAACCGUGUAUUCUGCCGGUGUUUGCUACACGCCGGUCCAACGAGCUAGGACAGGCUUAAUUAUCAAAUAGAAAGUGACAAUUGAAAGACUUUCAUGUCUUAAUUCAUGACUAGAUGCAGAUUGCAAAAUGUAAACAAAAAUUGUCAUGAACUUUCUAAGCAUGUGCUGCUGGUGUUCAAAGCAAGCACAAAAAAGAAACACGGGAUCAGCGGUGGCUAUUAGUCAAAGCAGCCACAAACCAAGAAACUUGUAUUUCCUUGCACAACAAGACUGUCAAAGCAACUUCCAAAUAUUUUCUCACUAUAAAUAGACUGGAUUCCCUUGAAGAUCAUCAAGAAACUCCAACUUAACUUUGUUCAGCUAAAGAAAGAUAACUAGUUGGCCUACACCAAUACUUUGAUCGAAAAUUGUUUUAGAUAACAAGAGAAAGCAAGAAAUGGGUCGUUUCUCUGCCAUUUUUAGUUUCUUUGUUUCAUCAUCUUCUUCAAGGGUUGCAGAUGAAGCCCGUAAUAAGACAGAGAAAACCAAAAGCAAAUCAAAAUCAUCAGGUGCCCCAAUCGUAGUUUCUUACUUCCCCGUGAACUCAUCUCUCUCUCGCUUGUAGGAAAUUCCAUUCCAGGGAGAUGAAGAAGGGCCAUGUGGUACUUUCUAUGCCGAUAAUCGUGGACCAUCUUCGGCCUUUUUCACAAAAACCAACUGUAUGACAGUGUGGCAAUGCUGCUACGUUAGGCUUUGAAGUGAUUGUAGCAAUUAUGAGUAGCGGAAAUUCUAUCUCAAGACUAUUUCAUGCGUGAUGUUUAUGCAACUCAUCAUAUGGCUGUAGCCGGUACUGUUCUGAAUUAUUUUUUAUUUUAUGGGUAAAAUUUCUUAAAUUUUGCUUAUAUAUACUUUAAUCAGUGGAAUUCGAAGAUAGACGAACAAUGUUCGCAAUCAUUGAUAUAUAGUAUUUAUUUAUAUUAAAAUAUCUAUGAUCAAGAGUCAAGAUUAUAAAAAAUCAUAGUAAAUAAAUAAUCUAGCAAUAUUGCUUUAAGAGCCACAUGCCCACAACCACCAUACAAUCAACUAAUUUGGGACUGUCGCUUGCUAAUAUAAUAUUCAACUAAGACUUAGCACACAUAUGUAUGAUUAGUAUAUAGUAUUAUAUCAGAUCUUCCUUGCUUUGGAAGCUCAGAAUAUAAAAAUCUCCCAUUUUGUGUGGUCAAAACAGCCACAACAUGUGAAAAUUGAUUUUCCUUUUCUUUCCAGGCAAAGCAUAAGCUUCUCUCGUAC